CUCCAGCACACAAGAACUCCAAAAGCCUGAACCACAGCUGCCAGGGGUUCCUCCAGAACCUCCUCCCCCAGGAGCUUGCUACAAGUGCCAGAAAUCUGGCCACUGGGCCAAGGAAUGCCCACAGCCUGGGAUUCCUCCUAAGCUGUAUCCCAACUGCGUUGGACCCCACUGAAAAUCGGACUGUCCAACUCACCUGGCAGCCACUCCCAGAGCCCCUAGAACUCUGGCCCCAGGCUCUGACUGACUCCUUCCCAGACCUUCUUGGCUUAGCAGCUGAAGACUGACACUGCCUGAUCACCUCGAAAGCCUACAGGACCAUCACAGAUGAUCUGGGUAACUCUCACAGUGGAAGAAAUCAAGCCUGCUUCAUUUUGUGACAUCAUCAUCUCAACCAAGACCUCUGACCUCUAUAAUCUACAUGGAACAAAAGAAAACCUGGAAACUCUUAAAGUUCUGGAUGCUGGGAGGUUCAAGAUGAAGAUACUGGAAGAUUCAGAGUCUG
rnacentral:lncRNA from 10 species